UUUAAACAUGACCACAGGGACAAACAAACUUUCAAAUACCGUCGGAGUCAUCUGCUUCUUCAAUGUCGUCACUGAAACUCACGGCUGGUUCGUUAGCCUCAUUCCCCCCACCUUCAUUCCCGUUGUUGUUGUUAGCAACGUUCCCACCACCUUCGUUUCGGAUUCGAUCCUAGAGAUCGUCUAAGUAGAUCGCAUAGUGGGGAUUCACAACUUGGGGUGGAUUUGGCUGAGGAGCAACAACUUGGUCGUCAGCCACGUCAUUACCGAUGACGACCGGAUGUUCAGGAUCAUAGCCCACGAGUCCGCGAAAGUCGACUGCCGGGGCCUGUUUCACGUCAAACACAAAGUGGCAGUCUUCGUAUAAUGGAAAUCGGUUGAUUCUAAAGGUCCUCUCUUCCUCCGUCU
rnacentral:lncRNA from 1 species